rnacentral:rRNA from 1 species
CUACGUAGGGGGCAAGCGUUGUCGGGAAUUACUGGGCGUAAAGAGCUCGUAGGCGGCUCAGCAAGUCGGUCGUGAAAGCCCGAGGCUCAACCUCGGAACUGCGGUCGACACUGCUGUGGCUAGAGUCCGGUAGAGGAGAGUGGAAUUCCCGGUGUAGCGGUGGAAUGCGCAGAUAUCGGGAGGAACACCAGUGGCGAAGGCGGCUCUCUGGGCCGGUACUGACGCUGAGGAGCGAAAGCGUGGGGAGCAAACAGGAUUAGAAACCCCAGUAGUCC